UACGUAGGUGACAAGCGUUGUCCGGAUUUAUUGGGCGUAAAGGGAGCGCAGGCGGUCUGUUUAGUCUAAUGUGAAAGCCCACGGCUUAACCGUGGAACGGCAUUGGAAACUGACAGACUUGAAUGUAGAAGAGGAAAAUGGAAUUCCAAGUGUAGCGGUGGAAUGCGUAGAUAUUUGGAGGAACACCAGUGGCGAAGGCGAUUUUCUGGUCUAACAUUGACGCUGAGGCUCGAAAGCGUGGGGAGCGAACAGGAUUAGAUACCCGUGUAGU
rnacentral:rRNA from 1 species